rnacentral:rRNA from 1 species
UACGGAGGGGCUAGCGUUGUUCGGAAUUACUGGGCGUAAAGCGCACGUAGGCGGCUUUGUAAGUUAGAGGUGAAAGCCCGGGGCUCAACUCCGGAAUUGCCUUUAAGACUGCAUCGCUAGAAUUGUGGAGAGGUAAGUGGAAUUCCGAGUGUAGAGGUGAAAUUCGUAGAUAUUCGGAAGAACACCAGUGGCGAAGGCGACUUUCUGGUCUGUAACUGACACUGAGGCGCGAAAGCGUGGGGAGCGAACAGG